AAUGAUCUACACGUACAAAGUUUCGGGUCGGGUGUUAUCCAAAUGCAGCAUGCUACUGGUACUGGUAAUAUUUAUCACGUCACUCGCUUUCAGGUCUACUAACCCGAAGGUAGCUUUUUUCACCUUUUAAAUGGUAAUAAAAGAUGAGAACUUGUUUUAGUAGAGCUUCAGUUGUUCACACGUUCCGCCAUUGCUAAAAGGAUCGUGAAUUAGUGGUUCGUCUCUUCUCUAGUGUAGGGCCCCAUGCGUUUUUCAUGAAUCAUCUACGUCUACUCACUCUCUUUCCCAUCAAGAAAUUGCAUACAAAAUAUAGUAGAUCAGCGUUUUUAUUUUA